rnacentral:rRNA from 1 species
ACGAACGCUGGCGGCGUGCUUAACACAUGCAAGUCGAACGGAAAGGCCCUGCUUUUGUGGGGUGCUCGAGUGGCGAACGGGUGAGUAACACGUGAGUAACCUGCCCUUGACUUUGGGAUAACUUCAGGAAACUGGGGCUAAUACCGGAUAGGAGCUCCUGCUGCAUGGUGGGGGUUGGAAAGUUUCGGCGGUUGGGGAUGGACUCGCGGCUUAUCAGCUUGUUGGUGGGGUAGUGGCUUACCAAGGCUUUGACGGGUAGCCGGCCUGAGAGGGUGACCGGCCACAUUGGGACUGAGAUACGGCCCAGACUCCUACGGGAGGCAGCAGUGGGGAAUAUUGCACAAUGGGCGGAAGCCUGAUGCAGCAACGCCUCGUGCGGGAUGACGGCCUUCGGGUUGUAAACCGCUUUCGCCUGUGACGAAGCGUGAGUGACGGUAAUGGGUAAAGAAGCACCGGCUAACUACGUG